CGCCCGAGGCAUGCUGGGUAAGCGUGGCGUGUACCUCGCCCGCCUUCGGAGCCGCAGGUCCGCGGUUACGUCUUUGUUUCAAAGAAUUCUGCAGCUGGUUUCUCCUGGGCGGCCCCGCGUGGCGUCCGGGCGGACGGGUUCAGGCGAGCAGAGGGCCUGUGGGAGCCGCAGAGAGAAACGGAAGAGACGUCGAGGACAGGCCUGUAAGAAGAGAACGAUCUGGAGGCAGGCCGUCCUGCCAGAUGCCCACGUGGGGCACAGACAACCAUGAAAAGUGACCUGAGUGCCCACGGUGAAGCAUGCAGAGAGGAGGUGAAAGGUGUCAUGUCGUGAAGGAGUGCCCGGUGAUUUCACAGAAGACUUGGACUUGGAAAUGGACACCUGCGCUGGGCGUGUUACUCCGCUGCCACCAGAGCCUCGUCACUAUUUCCACACGCAUUUCCUUGAUCGGAGAAUCCAAAAUCACUCACUUUAGCUGAUACAGAGUGAAGGAUAAUAAUAGCACAGCCCUGAGGCCGACACCGUUUCCAGGCUACCACCUUUUCCGCGGCAUCGCUCCAUCCUUGGUGCCAGUUGCCAUGAGAUAACGCCUUGGUGUUGGCAUCCAGAAUGCAGAAUCUUGAGCAACACUUUGUUUCCAAUGUGUCAGAAUCCUACAGACAGGAUUCCUUCAAAUCAUUGUGGUCCAGUAAUUUCACAAUGGGAUGCUGUCUUCACAACAUAACCAGAAAAGUAGGAGAGGUGUGGGCACAUGGGCUCCCACGAGGGCAUGACAGUCCGUGGUUGCUCCUGGCCUCCCGUCUCGCUCUCCCUGCCAACACCGGUGCACAGACGCACCCCCCACAGGUCGUACACACUCGCUACUCUCAGCCGCCUUCCUUUAUCUUUGAAUCGACCCUGCACGCCUCUCCUCCUCGUGGAGUCUUCCCCACCCUGCGUGACUGGUUUCUGCCUCCCAUGUGCCCUAGCGUUCCGUCUUCUUGUUCUUUACGUGCAGGUCACAGUGGCAAUCAUGGGAUGGUUCGUGUAGUUGUGUUUCUUAUUUAAUGUUCUGUAAGGAAUGAAGUCGUGUCUCGGUUACUGCUGCACUUUCUACCCCGACUAGCAUGAGCAAAUGUUCACUGAACGUUUGUUAAAUGAAAAGAAAGUGAAAUGUUGGAAUCACCGAAAUGCCCAACCGUUACAGUACAGGCAGGAAUACCUUCCGAUCGUUUACAUUUUUGUUUUCAUAGUUUUUUAGUGCCGAGGGAAAUUGCCUUUUCUGAUAGCAUUAGUUUUGUGAAAACCAAAACCAAAACCAAAACAUGAAAGUUGCUGGAAAAAAAUACACCAAAAUGUUCACAGUGGUUAUUGCUAAAGUGGAGAACUAUGUUCUUGUAUGUUUACUUUAAAAUAGGCAUGUAUUAGUUUUAUAGCCAGAAAAAUAUAGUUUUUGUUUCGUUUUUAAAUUGAUUUAAGCCUAAGUUAUGGAAAAAGUACCUCUCAGGCAUAGGGAAGUUGCAAGUAAAACCGGGUUUAAAAACAGAGAUUUCAGUAAAAUAUUUCCAAGUUUUAUUUCUUUUGAGGGAGAGACAGAUCACUCAUGUAAGAGCAAGCAUGAGUGGGGGAGGGGCAGAGAGAGAGAGAGAGAGAGAGAGAGAGAGAGAGAGAAUCUCAAGCAGGCUCUGCUAUCUCAGAGCCCAACAUGGGGCUCGAUCCCACAACCCUGGGAUCGUGACCUGAGCCGAAAUCAAGAGUCAGAUGCUUAACUGACUGAGCCACCCUGGCGCCCUUCAAUAAAACAAUAUUUUAAAUGCUCCAUUGGAAGAGAAGCCUCAUCAGGAGAAUGGAUAGUAGCUAGACGGAGUGGUACCUUCCCAAAGGACCACUGUCUGACAGAGAACAGAAUAAAGUACAGCAACACAUUCACAACAGAUAAAGCCUGUAAGAAAACAUGUAGUGCUAUUGAUAAAAUGAAAUCAGUGUAUAAUAGCAAUCCUACAACUGUUUAAGAUAUGUAAAAAUAUGAUUAAUUGUUUAGGAUACAUACAUGUAUUGUAAAGGUAUGAAGAAAUACAUAGUGUGACAUGUGGUGAUACGAAACUCACAAGAAUGGUUUCCUUUGUUGAGAGAGGGGUUUGUGGCUGAGGAGAGAGAAAAGGGAGGUUUGAUUUUUUUAACCAAGUGGUGGAUAUGGGUGUUAUUGCAAAAUUGUACUUUUGUGUACGUUGUAAUAUUUUAUAGUGUCCUGAAAUUUCAUAACAUGUUUUGAAAUAAAAGUAAAACUGAAAGGAAUCUGCCACUAACUCUUUCGUAAACAAAGAUUCUUUUGUAAAUAGGGGCAGCAUGCUUUCUGUGGUCUGUAAACUCAGAUUCUCUUUCACUCUCCCUCCUUCCUUCCUGCCCAGUCUCUCUCUUUCUCUUUCUGUCUCUCUGUCUCUCUCUCUUUUUUUUUUUUUUGGCUUUCUUUUAAAGUAGCGUAUUCUUUUUAACAGAACUGUUUUUACUAGGAAAGUUAGGAAUACCAUGAAAACCACCAGAUAGCUAUAAUUUGGUCACUGGUGUUGUAGAUCUGCCUGGUCUGAUUAUAAGAACUUUUAGGAGUUGUCUAGUGCUUUAAGUUAAUAGUAAUUUAGAUUUCAUUUAUGUAGAUUUCUAACUUGGCAUGUACUCCUAGUAAAGCAAACAAGAAAAAGAAAUAUGCUUCUCUCGCUCUGUUGGAUUAUGAUUGAUCUCAUUUUUCAGGAUCAGCUAUUCAAGAAAAGAGCUGGACGGCCCUGGCUUACAAAUUUCUAAUAACUUGAACUGUGUCUGCGAGAGUCUUAAUUGUGUGAAAGGGGAGGAGGCUCUCCUCGGAGCAUGACCGUGCAGUUUAGAAGUGCUCCAAGGAGAACAGAGUGCAAUGCCUUCCCUCUGGUUCCAUAACGUGAAGGAGAGAGGAGGCAGAGCUACUCUUCAGGUGAUGGAGUGGUGUCCAUUCUUGAAAAUAGAGGAUUAGCUUUGCAGUGCGAUAGGUCAGAGUUUUUAUUUUGCAAAGUGCGAUUCCAUUAUAGCCUUCUCAUCUCCCACGAGCUCUGGGAUUAGUGUUUGUUAUGCUAGGAGAAUAUAAUAAUUGCUUAAGUAUAGGAAAAAUACGUUUGACAAACAUUCAUGCUAGAGAAACAGGAAGAUGGGAUCCUUGACCCAGUGCGGAACUGCAGCUGGUCACUUAAGCCCCUUGCUUGUCUGCUGAUCCGCUGAUUAUCUUCUCACCUAAUUUUAGCCCAAAGGUUCAGCUUCCACCCCCUCCCGUUUUAUCAUUUCUUUUUCUCCUGUUGACCUGCCUGUGAAGAUACCAAGUAGAAGCAAAAUUGCCGAAAGGCAGAGCAGAAGAAUGAUCCUGGGUCAUUCGCUGAGGAGGUCGAGACCCUGACAGCUAAGGGUUAACCGCAGCUGAGGUGCCACAGGCCACGGAGAGCACGCGGGCACACUCACGUGCAGCACUCACACGCAUUCACGCACACAUUCGCGCACACUCAGGCGUGCACUCACGGGCAUACACACAGAAGCACACUCUCACCCCGGCACACACGGCCCUCCCCUGCCCAGCACAGCCUCCCACCGAUGCCGCCGCAGGAGUCUGGAGCACACGAGAAGGCUCUACAACCACGUCCCUCAGCUGAGAACUGACCCACUUUCACCAGGUUGACAGAGGUGAGGAGAUGAGCCGUGGAAGUGGUCCAGACAGAAAACCUGUGACCAGAACAAGAUCCUCCUGACCCACGUUCCCGGACGGCGUGCCUCCGUGGCCGGGAUGGACCCGGCCCUCAUUUACUUCACCUCACCUUAACCAGGAACCUGGACCCACACACGCCCAGCGAACUGGCGCCAUGUGGCUGAUUGGGACAUUUCAGCUCUCCUGAAAAUUGGUGUCGAUCGCUUCAGAAGACACCCACAGGCAACGAUUCGUCGUGACGGUUAAGAUGGCCAGAAUGAUUGGGCUCCCCAGCACACUGAUGCAUUCCACACCAUACCUGAGCUGGCUCUUGGAUUCAAAGGUCAAAUUAAAACUGGUCACCUGGGAGUGUGGCUUACGUGCCCAUGUUUACAACCUCAACUCUUGUCAUGUGUCUGCAGAGUCCCCAACAACAAAUCAACAUCCUGUAGUCUGGGGGAAAGCAAGAACAAACGACGCUUCAAGAACUGGGGCUAAGUUGCGAAUGCCCAGAACGCAAUUCGUAUACCCAAAACACGUUACGGCCACAAACUGCUGUGGCACAAAUUUGGACUAUUUUAAGUUUUUUAAAGUCUCGUUUGCAAGUAGCAAAAGAUCCUUAUUGUGAAAGAUAACUUGGUUCUCUUGUUUAUAUUCAAGAACCAGCGCAGAUUAAAGUGAUCUUUUAAAAGGGCUUGAAUAGGAGAAUAAAUCAGUAUUGGUG